AAGCAUUUAAUUGCCAUUGCAAGACUCACCAGAGCUCUCUUUUUCCUCCGGAAUGAGGGUUGGCAACCUUCAAGACGGUGAUUGCAACAUCAGCCUGGUUCCUCAGAACAUCAGUGUCUCCAUCCGUACAACAGAGGAAAGAACAUCUCCCCAGCCUUCUCAAGGACUGUGUUGACCACUGUGGCCAACAGACUCCAGAUCUGGAAACUCUGACUUAGGAGGAAUAAUUUCCCAAGCUGAGGUCACAAAUCCAUAAGUCACUCAACCAAGAUUUUAAAUCAGUAGGCCCUGUAUGGAUUUGGACAUGAUUAAAUCCAGGGCCUGGCCCUCAGGAAAUUUACAAUCUAAAGGAAAAAAUAAACAACUGCUGAUAAUGUGAAACAGAACGCACACUUUGCUAUAAUAAAAAUUGGAGGAAAGGGCUGAGGAGCAAAGAGGAAGUUCGUUCUAAUUGGUAAAUCCAAGAAGAUUCCUUUGAGGAAGUAACAUUGAAUUAAGCUUUGAAGACCCCAGGCACGCAGCAGUAUGGCGGGGACACAUGCCAUCACAUGGGAGCUGAGCUCCAGACAGGAAAACUUCCAGUUCAUGAGGAACCCAAACAGCAAGACACAUAACUUGUCUCACAAAAUAUUUUCAUCCUUCUGCAGAAUCUAUUAAAAGAUUUGAGGAAGCAAUGUGCUCAAGGAAGUUUGGACUCUACCCCAGCCCUAGAAGAUUAAACAUAAUUAGCCAAGCCAGCCAUGCUGAUUCCAUUUCCUUUACCAAUGAUUGGUGUGAGCGCGGGCAUAUGA